GUAGCUCAGUGGCAGAGUGCUUGUCUCGGAUACAUGAAGCCCUGGGUUCGAUUCCUCAGC
rnacentral:tRNA from 1 species